CCUACGGGGAGCUGCAGUCGAGAAUCAUUCACAAUGGGGGAAACCCUGAUGGUGCGACGCCGCGUGGGGGAAUGAAGGUCUUCGGAUUGUAAACCCCUGUCAUGUGGGAGCAAAUUAAAAAGAUAGUACCACAAGAGGAAGAGACGGCUAACUCUGUGCCAGCAGCCGCGGUAAUACAGAGGUCUCAAGCGUUGUUCGGAAUCACUGGGCGUAAAGCGUGCGUAGGCUGUUUCGUAAGUCGUGUGUGAAAGGCGCGGGCUCAACCCGCGGACGGCACAUGAUACUGCGAGACUAGAGUAAUGGAGGGGGAACCGGAAGUCUCGGUGUAGCAGUGAAAUGCGUAGAUAUCGAGAGGAACACUCGUGGCGAAGGCGGGUUCCUAGACAUUAACUGACGCUGAGGCACGAAGGCCAGGGGAGCGAAAGGGAUUAGAUACCCGAGUAGUC
rnacentral:rRNA from 1 species